GCAAUACUCUCAAAAAGGGAGGGAGGGAAGGAGAGCUUAGCUUAGCCCUGAAGUCAAGCCUAAAGAUUACUGGUCAGGAAUGUCAAAAGCAUUUAUUAAGCAACCUUCUUCCUGGCAUUUUAGGAAGAAAGCCUCACGCACAAAUCAAAUCUCUUCCUUCGGAAACCUGUACUCUGUGAACGGGCCCUCAGAUUUCACCUCAAAGAAAGAACAAUUGACAGUUCACGGGAUUUAACAGCAUGGCGCCAUUCAUACAUUUUGAGCAGUUGCAAUCAUGUGGAUUGCAAAAGUGCUUACUGGAAUUAGAGACAAAUGGGGCAACUUUCAGAGGUUUAGACAUAAGAAUAGAUUGGCAGGUAUCUGUCUUGGGGCCAGGGUCUUCAGAAACACCUGCUCAAUGACUUCUGCAAAUUUCAAUAAAACACUAAAAUGUGGUUAUGCGUAUAGCUCAGUGGUAGAGUACACACUUUGCAUGCUUUAGGGCCCUGAGUUUGGUCGUCAGCACUAUAAAAAAUAAAUAAAAGAGUCAAAACGGACAAAACCACUAAUGCUUUGAAUGGCUUAGAAUUAGGCAUUUUCACCUAAAAAUCAAAUUUCUUACAUCCUGA
rnacentral:lncRNA from 1 species